CAGCUGGCAGGGGGUUGCGGGGGGGGUGGGCGUGUGCCUGGUAGGGCUCUGCUGUAAUGACUGUCCAUUAGGCCCAACCAGGUAAGAGCUCACACAUCAUUUCAGUGGGGGCUGAUCAAAAGAGAGGGAGUAAGUCAACUUCCUUGAAAAAUCCUUUCUUGGGGGUGAUUGGAAGAAAGAAAAGUGCUCUCUGGUUCGUUAUCUCUUACUGGUAAGAAAUCCUAGCAAGAGACUCUUCCCAGUGUUCAGAUUCUGCCUCUAAAUCUCUCAGCAAUUGACUCUGGUUGGCAGUGGCCAAGUAUUAUUCUAAAACCAGAGAAACAGAGUGAUUCUCAUUUUGGGGGAUGGAGAUGACAGGUGGCAUGACAGAAAUCUUAGAUGGUGAGCAAACCAGGAAGAAAGGGUUCAGGGCCAAGCUCACUGUUAGCAGGAUUAGAACAGCUCAGGUAGCUGUGAGGGGCAGGUGGGAAUACCAUGGUUUGGGAUGGCAGGGCAGCCUAGGGCAGGGGCUAACAGCCCAGGGUCUGCAGACAGACCUGGAUUCAAACUCUGCCCACCCAGGCGUGAGAGAUCAGGCCGUUACUGAAUGGAUAUAGUACUUCCUCUGUAAAGGGCAGAUGAUCAUAAGAAGAGCUUCAUCAGGUUCUCGUGGGGAGAAAAUCACAGUGCCUGGCCCAUAAUACAGUUUACCAAAUGUCCUGAUUAUGAGAUACCAGUAUAUUAUAUGCAGAAGCUACCGGGUAAUUGCAAAAUCACUUUGUAGAAAUGUUCAAGAAGCAGAAAAAUCAAUCAGGGUAUGAGUCUGUCGCCACAUUCAUUUCAGAGGUUUUGAAAUGAUCCCCGUGUAGACACAGCCUGAUGGCUGUAGGUCGAUCUUGGGAUUUAAAACCCUGAGCAGGGCCCCUGAGCCCUGCAAGACACAGAAGGACUCUGUCCUGCACGACUUCCCCCUUUCCCCCCGGGAUGUGCAUGCUGUUGCCCCAACAAGGUGGGUGUGACAGCUGCAGAAGCAGGUGAAAAGGGGGACGGGAGCUACUCACCGCUCGGUACUUGACCAGGUAGUGCCUGAUGGGGGAGCCGCCGUCAUCCUGUUUGAUCAGAUUCACCUUAAUAGAGUUUCCAUCCUCUCCCAUCUGCCCUUCCAGUUUAGGUGCACUGGGUUCCCCUGAAACAGCCAGUUAAUUCAUGUGACAUAUUCGCCCACACGAAGAAAAUCCAACCCAGAAUGGGAUGGAGUGAUGGGGUGGGGCUGGGCUCUUUCUUGCUUUCUCAGAAAUUCAAAUGGUUAGAAAGCAAUAAAUAUAAAACUUCAGAUUCCAGUGAGAUACCUCAGACUUAGCCCCAAACUGGGAGUGACUUUUGGGAAUGUUCUGGGAAACCCUAUUAGCACAGUCCUUUUACCAUUUUAGAAACAGGAUUUUUUAAAAACUGUUUCUCACUGGUGCUUGCAUUUCCUUUUUGCUGUUCUUACAACUGCAGAUUUAACUUUGAUGAGCCUGAUGCAUUUUGAGGAACAGCCUGAAAUACAGGCAAAUGUGCGUAAGUGUUUAAAGGAGAAAACCUACACCCAUAAAAUAAUUCUUCACAGCAGCCAGUUUCUUCCCUGGAUACGUGAUUCAUCUCAGGGGGCUGGGGGACCCAUCCCUAAUGGGGACGGAAUGACACUGCAUUCUUGUGACCAGCUCUCCAUGAGUUAAAUUGCAUUACUUAGACUCAUUCAUAUAAAAACAUGACAAGUUUCCAGGUGUGAUUAAAUAAAGCACAAUUUGCCACGGGCAAGUCUCCUGUAAGCAUCCUGCAUUUACGGCUCAACUGCCUGAGUGAUAAUCCUUGGUACCUUGUUUAAAGUAACAAUCAUGAAAGUCUUUCUGUUUGUGAGCAGAGAGAGGGAAAAAAUGGCUUCAGCAUUUCUCAACAGAAAAAAGUCGAUGUCUCUACCUGUGGUAUACAUUCAGCUCGUGUGAACCCGAGACAGAGGAGGAAGGUGAGCUCGGUACGGACAAAUUACCAGAGGUGGGAUGCUUCUUCAGUAAAUAAGAUGCCGACUUUCUUUAAGAGAAACUGUUUCACUAGUGUGUACUGGGAGUAAUGAGACAGAAAAUUGGGAGAGCCUACAAGAAGUCACCUUCUGGGAGGGUUGUCCUGGCUCGUUCACUGGAAGACAGAAUCACAGACAUGUGACCAAAGAACCCAGAAAGGUUUGUCGCCAGGCUUUGGACCUCAUCACCCCAAGGUAUACCUCUGGCCAUUUGUGGCAAGGCUGCUGGCAAAGCCAUUCAGCCCACCUUCCUCAUUCAGCUACUCUGGGAACCUCACAGUGGCCUUGUGUCCUGCUCCCCACUUUGAGACAAGGAGGAACCAGACAGGGAAAGCUAUUGGCCAGCCCUUGCUGUUCAGCCUGGGCCUGUAGCACGAACCCCACGUGGCAGCUCCUUAGACAUGCAGAUUCUGUUUCAACAAGAUCCCAAGGUGAUCCUUGUGCACCUUUAGGUGAUGGGGACACACAGAGGCUGACAGGGAAGGUGCAUCCCCUUAAUGUCAGGGGUGAUUUAGGAAGUCAGGCUUGUAAUUGGUGUUCCUCCAUCAGCAAUUAAAAAAAAAAAAAAACAGGAAAAAAAGGACAAGGUUUUAGGCAAAGACUUGUCCUGUUUUCAUGUCGCUAUCCAGCUGCUGGUCCCAACUAUUCUUUGGAAAAUUCUUAGGAAUUUGGUUUCGAUAAUGUCAAGGCAGGUAUGCUUUUCAGAUUCUUUUGGACCAUCCUAAGCCUUAGACAACAGUUGUCUUAUAUCAUUGUAAAUAUCCAGGGCUAGAAAGGAACUCAAACAAAGUGGAGGAUAUUUCAGAACCGGGCAGGUCUGCACAGUCACAGAUGGCAGGAGUAGGCACAGUUGAACUGGAUAGCUCUGUUCUCUGAAUGCAGGGGACAGACUGGUUCUGGCUGGCCUGGGACUUCCAGGUGUGAGCCUCACAAGUCCUGCACUCAGGCUGACUGGGAGAGCUCAUGGCCCCAGACUGAAUGGGGAUGGACAUUAACGAGGACUUUUGUAUUCAGAAUUGCAACACUGACUCUGUGAUGGUCGAUUUGCCUUAAGGAUGGAAUGCAGUGGCAUCAGUGGCCCUUCCAACACAGUCAUGGGGUGAGGACCCGGUCCUUCCCCCAAAGCUUCCUUGGAAGGUAAACGGAGAUUAAUCUGCUGGGGCUGCUCUGGCUACACUUUCCUUAUGAUUUCCUUCCAGAUUUGAGCAGCGUGGGUUUCAAGGCUGAAUCAAGACCACAAAACACUGGACCCUGCUUUGGGAGUGGGUGGGGGGGUUGUAUCUACUUAGAAGAGGUACUCUCUUUCAUGUUUGUGGGGAUCCCUGUAAAACUGAAUGCUUGGACAGGCCACUGCCUCAGUACCCACGUUUGCAGAAUCCAUGCCCCGAACGAGGUGUUCUCCAGGGCCCCCCUCUGGCUCUGACAGCACUGUGACCCAAUGACAGUCACUGUGUUAGGACAAACUAUCAAGAACACCUUGGCUAUUUUCAAAACACUGUGAAAGACGCAAAAUAAGGAUGGUCCUGCCAAUUUCGGAGCAAUGUAUCCCCAGAUCAGCAAUUCCACAUCUCUAAGGCACAGGGUUGUCCAUUUUUCUUUACAAUUUUAAAAGUUAUUCUCCCCAAAGUCCUAUCUUUGCAAAGAGACCCCAACUGUCUUCAGAGACAUGGGAACAAAUAUCUUGCCAAGGAUUCCCUGCAGAAACUAACAGCCCCGAUGAAAGUCAAAUCUUAUCUUUGGAUGUGUUUCAGAAAAAAUAUGAUUGGAACCACAAAGAAACCACUAACAACUAUUCCACAGAACACAGUUCUAACAUUUACCAAAGUUGGAACACUAUCAUUGCUAUUUUAUUGGAGCGACUACCAUGUUAUUCUGAUAUACGUGUAUUUCUUUCUUACAGAAUGUAGAGCAUGGCAUAUAAUAUUUACAUGUAUCAUUUAAAGUGCUUUAACUAUGGUUUACUCAACAAACGUUUAUGGAGUACCUACCUCCCAGGUACCAGAUAAUCUCUUAGGCAUUGGGGUUUCAAAGGUAAACAAGACGAAGUUCGGUUUGUCAAAAGAAAAAAACCUAGUUAUGAUCAACUCUUUUUAAAAAUGGCGGGGCCCUUGUAUGGAAAGGUAACCCUUCCUGUGACGGUGUUUCUAGAGGAAGAUGACCUUCAACUAACAUCAGAGGGAUUCUGACCAACUCUACACAACUUGUAGUCACAUAAAGGUGGAGAAAGAGCAAUAUUUAAACAAUUGUCUUCUCCAUCUUCAAAUGCACACUCUCUGUCCAUUUUUCUCAAGAUUACGAAUAGGCUAAAGGAAUUGCUUCCUGAGCUGUUGGCGAAAAGGAGACUCUAGCCAUACCUGAUGAGGGAUGGGCUGACCCUGAAGAAAUGGGGCCUUGGCAUUUGGGUGGCUCACUGCUUUGCUGAACACAUUAGGAGAGGAAAUUAUUUAGAGGGUCCCAAUGUGCACUCUGUUCUGAAAUGGCUGCCCUGAUUGAAAUCAUUAUGGGUAAUUUCCGCAACACCAAUAUUGUAAUUAUUUGUAAAUGUUGGUUUGCGAUUCAGCAGCAAUCGGCAGGUUGCUCCAAGAAAACCCCUGCGGUUAAUUACACCUUCUGAAUUUAGCUUCAGCCAUGAGUCAAAUUUUGCCCCCAAAUAUUUCACGUAAAGACUCAAAACAACAUCACCUUAAAAAUAAGCCUUGCCGAUAACAAAUAUAAAAUAUUAGGCAACUCUGGUAUUUUCUAGAAGAGUGUAAAUCACGGAUGCAAGAAAAGAAGAAUGUACCAUCGAGACCACAUACAGUCAGAAAUGUGGCAGGCUCGUCCUAUAAAUUCCUCCCAGAAAUCGUAAUUAAAGUGUGUAUUUCUGGCCUUGCAGAUUGUAGGUUCUUUGUAAUUUGUGUGCUAUUGUGCCCUAAAAUCUGAGUCAGCUUCAAUUCCUUCCCCUCGUCAGCACAAGUCCGGAGGUCAGAAAACUACUGCUGGGUACCUGAAUUCCACAACAGAAAUUAUAGCAGGCUUAGGGGGUCUGGACAGCAUCUGUGAAUUUUAGAAGGAAAACAAUCUUCUACUUCUUACUCAAAAACGCCCAAGUACCAAGAAGUAUACCUUCUGACAGAAAUGCCGAGGUGCCCCAUGGCAUCCCUGACAGAGGCCUGACCUGCAUUCUUUUUUCCUGACCUUUGCUUUCUCUCCCACAGGGACCUGCACAGACUUUGGGGCCUCUGAGUAUAAACCAGUGAUGGAGAUAGGGCUUGCAUUAGAAUCUAUCACAUUUUCCAUCAAACAGGAUUGUCUGGCAUCAAAAAUACUGUUACUUUUGUUUAUCUUAACUCCUGUUCCCCUUUGGUCCAUUACACCCUGCAAGCAAUGUGAAACUUAUGUAUGCCUUUUCUAUUAUUUGUUUAGAAGAGUACAAAAUGCAUGACUUGGCUGUUCAAGUAUGAAGCCCAUUUGAUUUUUCCCAACUCAGGAACAUUCGAAAUUACAUCAAGAGGUUAGACGUUUGAUCGGCCUUAGGAUCUGUAGUUAUGAGGCUGCUGAUUGUCCUUCCUAAGACCAGGCUCUUUGCCGAACAAAUGAAUCUAGGGGAUCUGUGCUGCUUUCAUCCUUGGAGCCUCAAACGCUCUGGGACACCCCCUGUGACAACCCGCCUGGCUGAGGGGGCUUUCUGACAGUCUCGGCGAGCAGCUGUCAGUCCGAACACACCCAACCCCGGACGGGGUUCAUUCUGUCCUAAGCAUUGCUCCUCCAGAUCGGGCCUGGGGAAUAAAUGCUCCUUUUCUCCUGA